UGAGACUCCGUCUAAAAAUGAAAGUGGCAUCUGAUACAGAGAAGAUUAGCAUGGCCCCUGCUCAAGGAUGACACACAAAUUUGUGAAGGGUUCCAUUUAAAA
rfam:Gorilla gorilla gorilla genomic chromosome, chr6, whole genome shotgun sequence